GCUGAGACUGCGGCGGGGCCGGACACGUCCACGAUGGCCGACCAUCAUUAUUCUUGAAACCAGUUUCACUCAAAUAGUAACCAUGGGAGCAGAACACAACCCUAACAACGUUAAUAAAACUAUUCAAGCAGUCAGCAGAGGUUGGGCGCAAUAAAACCAGCGUAAUGCACCCUUGGCAGCCCGAAGACAUCCCGUCAGCUCCGAGCAGACCCGAUGAGUCUGACAUUCUUCGCUGAUCCAUGGAACGUAGCGCAAGAUGAAAGCAGUCUGCCCGCCCAGAAGCAGUAGGCGUAGCAUCAACAACUACUACAAGCCGCCGUGAUACUCGGCUAGGAUGGAGGGAUGUCAUCUUUGAUGCGUGAGGACUACAAGCGCGUGCUACCGCUCUGAGCGACGAUGAGAGUCGCGUCACCGGCGACACUGCAGCAACACCACGCGACAACACGAAACUCACGCACGCGAUGUCUGAUCUACUGUUGCAUGUUUUAUGUUUAAUCAAACUAUUUACUUACUUAUUUAGUUUGACACUGUUUUAGUUAUCUACGAUUACUAAUUUUAUAAUCAUGUUCACUGGUAUAUCGCUAUUUAUAUCUCGAUAUAUAUUUGUUUACUCUGUUCUAAGUUUCUAUGAAUAUAUACAAUUAAUUUGUAAUAUGUAAACAUUUUGUAAAGAUAGUGAAGCAUCCCCCCGGACAGCAGGGAAUAUUGUGCGGGUACCACAGGUCCUGGGGGCUGGCUGUAAGGAACGAAUGACUAAGUGAAUGAUAUUUCCCGCUAGAGCGGGCUUUUUAAUAUUUAAUCAAAUGCUUGGUGUUAGUGUAGUUUAAUGUUAAUGAGACGCCGUAAUUACAUAACUAAUUUUAA